GUGGGGAAUUUUGGACAAUGGGGGCAACCCUGAUCCAGCCAUCCCGCGUGUGCGAUGAAGGCCUUCGGGUUGUAAAGCACUUUUGGCAGGGAAGAAAAGUUUCGGGCUAAUACCCUGGAGCGAUGACGGUACCUGCAGAAUAAGCACCGGCUAACUACGUGCCAGCAGCCGCGGUAAUACGUAGGGUGCAAGCGUUAAUCGGAAUUACUGGGCGUAAAGCGUGCGCAGGCGGUUCGGAAAGAAAGAUGUGAAAUCCCAGGGCUUAACCUUGGAACUGCAUUUUUAACUGUCGAACUCGAGUAUGUCAGAGGGGGGUAGAAUUCCACGUGUAGCAGUGAAAUGCGUAGAGAUGUGGAGGAAUACCGAUGGCGAAGGCAGCCCCCUGGGAUAAUACUGACGCUCAUGCACGAAAGCGUGGGGAGCAAACAGGAUUAGAAACCCUAGUAGUCC
rnacentral:rRNA from 1 species